UAUUAUUAAGCGGAGGAAAAGAAACUAACCAAGAUUGACAUAGUAAGGGCGACUGAAAUGUCACUAGCUCAGCAUGUGAAUCAGCGUUCACUUUAGUAAGCGCUGAAUUGUGGUCUUAGGGUUGUUGCACCAUUGAGGCCAGACUAUGUUUUUUGGAAUAAAAUAGCAAAGAGGGUGAAACUCCCGUUUGUCUGGCCUUACGAAGCAUCAACUAUUGAGUCGAGUUGUUUGGGAUUGCAGCUCAAAUGCGGUGGUAAAUUCCAUCUCAAGCUAAAUAUUAGCAGGAAACCGAUAGCGAACAAGUACCGUGAGGGAAAGAUGCAAAGAACUUUGAAAAGAGAGUGAAAGAGUACCUGAAAUUGCUGAAAAGGAAGCGAACGAAGCUAGUGAAAGCUCUGUCAUACUUUCCAAUUUGCUUGCAAUUUGGACGCUGUGACUAGCUAAGUCCGACUGGAUUGCAAUAAGCGAAAAUGGGCCCAGGAAAGACUUAUUUCCUUUGCCUACAGCGAUUGCUGUGAUUCAGUCGAACCAAAUAGCUUUGUUUGUCCCGUCUAGAAACACGGACCAAGGAGUCUAACAUAUGUGCGAGUACUGGGGUAGCCAACCUUGGUGCGCAAUGAAAGUGUCAGAGGCUAGAAGCAAUCAAGCUUGCAUAGUCCGCCGGCCUCCAUCCCUCGGGAAAAUGGUCUGAGUGUGAGCAUACAUGUUGGGACCCGAAAGAUGGUGAACUAUGCUUGAGUAGGGUGAAGCCAGGGGAAACUUUGGUGAAGGCUCGCAGCGAUUCUGACGUGCAAAUCGAUCGUCAAACUUGAGUAUAGGGGCGAAAGACUAAUCGAACUAUCUAGUAGCUGGUUCCCUCCGAAAUUUCCCUUAGGAUAGCU
rnacentral:rRNA from 1 species